CAGUUUGACGCAAUAGCUCAAUGAAUGUAUUGAAUACAUCCACCUUGACAUUUUCUUCCCUCUCUUUGAAUCUGUCAAUCAGUUUAGGACAGGCCUCCUCAUACAACUUUGAAAGCAGUUCAGGACGAGAUACGAUUAAUGCUGCCAAGCAUUUAGCUGCUGCUCUUCGAACUUUCCAGCUAACAUCCUCAUCAUCCGUAUAUUCAUUUGCACUCUCAUCAUCUUCCUCCUCUUCAUGACUCUCUUCAUCGGUAUCCUCUUCCAUGUUAUCAGUGAAGUUUGGAUCAUAACUUAGGUAUUCUAGAGUAAGAUGAAGAAUUUCAUCACAAUAAGAAGAUAUGUCCCUGGGGCACCUGAGCAGAAAACUUUCUAGUGCCUGCAAGCUAUAUUCACGAAGCUCCUCAUCAUUCUCUGAUGCACUAGUGCAGUAAUUAAUCAAAACUGGCACAGUAUCUCCAAGAUGAGGUCCAAACCGAUAUCCCACAGCACGGCUUAAAGCACCAAUCAUUUGAAUGUUUGUACGGGUCAUUUCAGGCUUUACACCCUUACUUCUCAAGUUUCGAACAACUUCAAUAGUUGCCUUUGCCAACAGAUCAUCUGACAAGCUUGAAGCAAGAGAUGCAAUACAAGAAACAGUCUUCUUUCUUACACUGGCUUGAUUGGAAUUCAAUUGGGAUAGAAGUGCAUUUAAAAGCAACUCAUGGUCAGUUGCCAUCAAAUUUCCAAAUUUAU
rnacentral:misc_RNA from 1 species